rnacentral:lncRNA from 1 species
AUCGAUGCUAAGCAUGUCAGUUGGUGUUUAGGCAAAAAUAUCUGCAUUUUUCUACAAAAAGGAAGUGAGACGAUCUUUGAUUAUCUUAUCCAAGUUGGACCCGAUCUGAACUGUAUGUUCUUCAUUCCCGUCGUUUAAUGGGAUUGUCUCAAGGCCUCUUACUAGUUCUCCACAUUCUUCAGCUAGUUCAUCACAAGUGUCUAGUCCAUCGAUAAUGUAUGCAUCAAAAGGCCUCGAUCCCUAGAGAGCAAGGGUAU